AUGAAGUCGGAAUUGCUAGUAAUCGCGGAUCAGCAUGCCGCGGUGAAAUACGUUCCCGGGCCUUGUACACACCGCCCGUCACACCAUGGGAGCCGGUAAUACCCGAAGUCAGUAGUCCAACCACGUGAGGACGCUGCCGAAGGUAGGAUUGGCGACUGGGGUGAAGUCGUAACAAGGUAAC
rnacentral:rRNA from 1 species